GACCUACGGGGGGCAGCAGUGGGGAAUAUUGGGCAAUGGAGGCAACUCUGACCCAGCAACGCCGCGUGAGCGAUGAAGGUCUUCGGAUUGUAAAGCUCUUUAAGUGGGGACGAAGAAAGUGACUGUACCCACAGAAUAAGCCUCGGCUAACUACGUGCCAGCAGCCGCGGUAAUACGUAGGGGGCGAGCGUUGUCCGGAAUCACUGGGCGUAAAGGGCGCGUAGGCGGUAAUAUAAGUCAGAUGUGAAAGGUGGGGGCUCAACCCCUAGAGUGCAACUGAUACUGUAUAACUUGAGUGUGAGAGG
rnacentral:rRNA from 1 species